UGGGGAAUCUUGCACAAUGGGCGAAAGCCUGAUGCAGCAACGCCGCGUGGGGGAUGAAGGCUCUCGGGUUGUAAACCCCUUUCAGCAGGGACGAAAUUGACGGUACCUGCAGAAGAAGCCCCGGCCAACUACGUGCCAGCAGCCGCGGUAAUACGUAGGGGGCGAGCGUUGUCCGGAUUCAUUGGGCGUAAAGAGCUCGUAGGCGGUUUGGCAAGUCGGGUGUGAAACCUCCAGGCUCAACCUGGAGACGCCACCCGAGACUGCUAUGACUAGAGUCUGGUAGGGGACCACGGAAUACCUGGUGUAGCGGUGAAAUGCGCAGAUAUCAGGUGGAACACCGGUGGCGAAGGCGGUGGUCUGGGCCAGUACUGACGCUGAGGAGCGAAAGCGUGGGGAGCGAACAGGAUUAGAUACCCCCGUAGUCC
rnacentral:rRNA from 1 species